UAUAUUACAAUUACUAGCAUACAUUAAAAAGGAUUAAAAAGAUCUCCUCAUUUUCACUUCCGGCGGAACUCCCUUCCUCUCUUCUAGUUCCACUUUUAGGGUUCGAAUUAUUCAUCAAAUCUAUAUGGUUGAAGAUGGAGGAAAUAUACCGACAAUGUAAGAGCAUACAAUCAAAUGGCGGAUCUUGUUCAAAAGUUAUACAUUGAACUUCGUUCGACUUCGAAUAUGUCAAAGUUGCUUCCGUUCGCAAUGAUUUCGACACCUCUACUCGUCUCCUUACUCAGGCUCUAGGGAUUUUCUUCUCCCCUUUAAACCCUUGGUUCUUCUUUCUUCUUCCUUUGUUAUGUAAUUUCACUCCAUUACCUUGCUUUUUAAUCGACAAGAUUUUGUUGAAUUUUUGAAGUUGCUCUUUGUUUUCUCCAUUUAAUCGGGAAUUUUAGGGUUUCCUUUUAUUGUUAUGCGGUAAAAAUGGUAGAUUCAAGCUAAUUCUGCUGUAAGUGCUUGUCUAUUUGUUUAAUUUGGUUGAAAUCUUCACAUUGUCGAUUAUCUCGAUUGGUGAUAAAAGAAUGUAAGCAUCUUGUUUAAUUUUUUGUGGUAGUACAUUGAUAUAAUUGCUGUCAGAUGUUGAUUGCGGAGGAGGGGGUUAUAGAGUGAAGAAGAUUUAAGAGAAUUUCCUAAUUUAGUAAUUUGGUUUUAACUACCGACUUUUUUAUCUGUCAAUUGAGGAUUGAGCUUUACAGUCAUGUUUAUUUGGACUAAACUUUCUGGAAGGAGAAGAAAAUCCGAUGGACAAUUAACAGCUACUGAGGAUCUGGUCGCUAUAUACCUUCUUGACACUAUUGGGACUUAGUGCAGUUGAUCAUAACACUUUUAGUGCUUUCACAUAUCUCUCAUUAGAAAUACACUUUGCAUACUGGAGGCCAGGAAAUAGUAGUAUAUUCUAUCAUUAUAGGAAUAAUAGGAUGCAUUAGCCUUUUUCUAUGCUCAAUGACAUUAACAUCCAUGAUAUCUCUUUAGUAUGUACAUUAUUGUCUCGUAAACUUGCUUGUAGAUAUUGAAAUUGCAAGUAUUUUUUAAUUGUCAUUGGCCUGUUGAUUGGCUGGCUGGGACGGAGAUGUGGACUGGAAACUAGAGUAGUGCAAAGAAAAACAAGCAAACCAGGAUGUAGAAGUUAAGAAACCAUUUAAUGGAUUAUUUGUUAAUGGCUACCAUUUCUCCGGUGUUGGCCAACUUCCUCUAAAAUCAAAUAUUUUGUUGUCAGAUGGCUCUAGUGAUGUUCCCACUGUAAAGAUAUUGGUUCUUUAAAAAGGGAAUAUAUGAUUCCCAAGAGUUAAGGCAUUUUAAUUUCUAUUGGGGAGCAAUCAAGCAGUUAUCUUUGAGUUGAUAAGUUGAUAUAGUGAGCUCAUACUGAGAAAUAAUCCAUGUAGUUGGCUCUUGAUUUUAAUUCCUUCUACUUCCAAAUGUUUAGCUCUUGAUUUUUCUUAUGCGUUGAAAAUUGGUUAUGAUGAUAUGAAUCUAGGCAACUCUUUACACUGGGAUCCACACCUAGUGUUCUUAGUCAUCUAAUUGUCGACUGAGUUUCUUGUAGGCGAUGUAGCAUUUUCUUACAGCUAUCUUUUUCUUAGGUUGCUUUGGUGAUUUGGUAUUUGAGGGCUAAAACGUUAUUUUCAAAGUUAAAUUUACACCUCGAACUCUCAAAGCCACAAAAAUAUGUACAAGUAAUUAAUAUUUCUGCUUUAGCAGGUGCGGGUACCCUUUGGUAAAAGCAAUCAAAUUAUUGCUAAUUAUUCUGAUAUUAAAGUCAUUACUGCUUUUAAAUAUUUUACUCCAAUGCUUAGAAAUGGGGAAACCGGAGGCUGGAUUUGAACUUUUGUGGGUUAUAAAGGCGCUGUUUGGAGUUGUUGUUUAGACAUUAAGGCUCUCUAUAAUGCAACAACUGCUUCUACGGAUUUCACGGCGCUAUAAGUGCAAGAAAUAGAGAUAACUAAGCUAGAAACGAGCACCCCCAUCAUUUGGGUAGUGGUGGAUAUGCAACAAGAGAUCGAUGAUGUUCGAGAAAAAUUGAGAAUAUAUUUUAUUAGUAGUUGUUUGUAGUAAUUUUUUCUUGUUUUCAGAGAUAGAAAGCUAUAACAAAUUGUAGGUUAAUUUUUUUGGUAUACAUUAUUUAUACUUGUUAAACCAACUUUCUUUUUUGAAUUAAUAAAAAAUUCUUUUUGCAA